rnacentral:rRNA from 1 species
AGUGAACGCUGGCGGUAGGCCUAACACAUGCGAGUCGAACGGCAGCACAGUAAGAGCUUGCUCUUACGGGUGGCGAGUGGCGGACGGGUGAGGAAUACAUCGGAAUCUACUUUUUCGUGGGGGAUAACGUAGGGAAACUUACGCUAAUACCGCAUACGACCUACGGGUGAAAGCAGGGGAUCUUCGGACCUUGCGCGAUUGAAUGAGCCGAUGUCGGAUUAGCUAGUUGGCGGGGUAAAGGCCCGCCAAGGCGACGAUCCGUAGCUGGUCUGAGAGGAUGAUCAGCCACACUGGAACUGAGACACGGUCCAGACUCCUACGGGAGGCAGCAGUGGGGAAUAUUGGACAAUGGGCGCAAGCCUGAUCCAGCCAUACCGCGUGGGUGAAGAAGGCCUUCGGGUUGUAAAGCCCUUUUGUUGGGAAAGAAAAGCAGCAGGUUAAUACCCCGCUGUUCUGACGGUACCCAAAGAAUAAGCACCGGCUAACUUCGUG